GGCAGAGGGCUGCAGAGGACAAAAAGGAGGAGGCUCGCCUUCGGAGAGCAGAGACGGGAGAAGGCAGACAGCGAGACUGCCCGAGGAACGGGAGGAGAGGGGAGGACAGGAGAUCCGAAGCUAAAAGCUCGGUCACAUCUAGACAGGACACAAUAUGAGGAAGGCAUAGAAACGCAAGCCAACACUGCCAGCGCCGAAAAAAAAUAAAUAAAUAACAACCGUGCUCUGAGCACCUCAAUGGGGCCGAAACCUGUCGGAGAAGGCACACAGCUGAGAAGGACCGCCUGCAACUUUUCCCCAGGCUCGGACAAGGGAUGUUCAGGAUGUACCAAAGACUCUUCACACUAGAGGCUGCAGUCACCUCCCAAGGAGCUGCCUCCUGCUCUGGCUGGUCAAACGGAACCAAGUCCGUCUUCCUGAGAGGUUUGGUCCCCUUCAACCAGCUACAGCAGGGCUGGCAAUGCCCAGUCCUUGGAGAAACAGAAGCAACUCACGUGUGGCUGAAAUUACCUGCUCAUACUUCCCUUAAGAAAACCACUCUGGUUUUGUUAUCAUAGUCUCAUGAGAGAAAAGAGGAGCCCUGGCUUCAAAAGUGAGAAAGAUGUGAAAGCUCAACACAGAGAGCUCUGUGCCUUUGUACCCACAACUAGACCCAGUCACACACUUGACAUACACAUCAAAGAUUUUAAGAAUGGAAAUUGUGCCAGCCCUGGGCCAGCCAGGGGGAAAACAUGAGACACACAAGACAGGGCCCCUGCUCAUAAGUGGUAACGGUCUAAGUAAAGAAAUUGGACAUAUAAAUAUGGCCCAACUUAACGGAAUUGCUAGUCAGAGCAUGGCUAGUUCCAAGACGCGAUUCUUCUUAUUUAGUCCACCAAACACACCUGGCACACUGUGUACCAUCAAGUUUCUAUGGAUCCAUUCAGCCCAAAAUAUCUAUUCCUUAAGACAUAUAUAUGUGAGUCAGUUUCCUGAUCUGUAGAAUGGGAAUAAUAAUCAUAGCACCUACCUCAUAUGGUUUUAUGUGGAAUGAAGUGAGAAUACAAGGAAAGGAGUUAGAAAGCUCUCAACAAUUGUUAUCUGUUAUUAAGAGGAGAUCCUGACCUGUCCUUCCAAUUUCUCUUUCAAGAUUUGUGUCUUUGACAGUGCACCUAGCAAUGUGCCCAGAACUUAGAUGUGCUCAGGAACAUUUGUUUGAAUUCCAGAAGCACAUGUGUUCACAAGCCAUCCUCUGACACAAUUACGCUCGUAUGAUGUGUAGAGCCCACUGCAGUAUCCACACAGGGAAGCCUGGGGCUCACUGGCAUGUACCUUGGAGGCAGGAAGCCUGGGUUUUAACUCUGCCCCUCUCAUUUGUUAGCUGUGAUAUAGCCUCUCUGAGCCUCCAUUAACAUUGUAUAAACCUUAGUUUCUUCAUCAUAAAAUGGGGACAACGACACUUAAAGUUAAGGAUUUCAAAAGAUAAUGUUUGUGAAGAGCCAAAUAUUAUUCCUCAAGAGAUGGUAGCUGCUGUUUUGUUGUUGUAAAUGGCAACAGCUCAAGGACAAUGUUGUGGCCACAGGUACCUGUAGCUAAAAGGGGAGGACUAGAUUUAAAACAAAAAAAAUAGAAAACCUCAAAAACUAAAACUUCAUUACAGGGUAUUUUUCUAUUCUAACUGUUAAUUCUACUGUCGUGUAGCAUGCAUUCAUCCUUGUAUAUGUUACUAGUAGGUAAUAAUUUUUACUAAAAAAAUACUUCACACAUGAGACCGACAGUAGCAUCUUAAAGAAACAUCUUGCCUGGAAAGCCUUCAUUUAUGAGCUGUUGAGAUGCUAGUCUGGAACCACGUGUCCUCCUGAGUACAUCAAGGCUUCAGAGUGGGUAUUCCAAAGGUGUGGAGUUUAGACAUAAGCAAUGGAGCCAGACUGCCUGGACUCAAAUCCCAACACCCUCACCCCCACCUGCUGUGCCACUUUGGGCAAGUUGCUUGACCUUUCAGGGCCUGCGUUUCCUCAUAUGUAGAACAGGGAUAUUAUUAAUAGUAUCUAUCUCAUAGGCUUUUCAUGAGAAUGAAAUGAAAAUACAUGAAAAGAUAUAAAACUGGUGCUGGGUACAUCAUAAGCUUAUAAGAGUUUUUGUCUUUGACAAUGUACCUGAAAUAUUCCUGAAACGAAAUUGGUGUUCAAUAAAAACUUAUUUAAUAAA
ensembl:lncRNA